rnacentral:rRNA from 1 species
AUUGAACGCUGGCGGCAGGCCUAACACAUGCAAGUCGAGCGAGCGGCGGACGGGUGAGUAAUGUAUGGGGACUGCCCGAUAGAGGGGGAUAACUACUGGAAACGGUAGCUAAUACCGCAUACUAUCGGAUAACCCAUAUGGGAUUAGCUAGUAGGUGAGGUAAUGGCUCACCUAGGCGACGAUCCCUAGCUGGUCUGAGAGGAUGAUCAGCCACAGUGGGACUGAGACACGGCCCAGAAUCCUACGGGGGCAGCAGUGGGGAAUAUUGCACAAGGGGCGCAAGUCUGGUGCAGCCAUGCCGGGUGUAUGAAGAAGGCCUUCGGGUUGUAAAGUACUUUUGGCAGAGAAGCGGUAGCUGCAGAAUAAGCACCGGCUAACUACGUGCCAGCAGCCGCGGUAAUAC